rnacentral:rRNA from 1 species
GAUGAACGCUGGCGGCGUGCCUAAUACAUGCAAGUCGAGCGAACAGACGAGGAGCUUGCUCCUCUGACGUUAGCGGCGGACGGGUGAGUACACGUGGAUAACCUACCUAUAAGACUGGGAUAACUUCGGGAAACCGGAGCUAAUACCGGAUAAUAUAUUGAACCGCAUGGUUCAAUAGUGAAAGACGGUUUUGCUGUCACUUAUAGAUGGAUCCGCGCCGCAUUAGCUAGUUGGUAAGGUAACGGCUUACCAAGGCGACGAUGCGUAGCCGACCUGAGAGGGUGAUCGGCCACACUGGAACUGAGACACGGUCCAGACUCCGACGGGAGGAAGCAGUAGGGAAUCUUACGCAAUGGGCGAAAGCCUGACGGAGCAACGCCGCGUGAGUGAUGAAGGUCUUAGGAUCGUAAAACUCUGUUAUUAGGGAAGAACAAAUGUGUAAGUAACUAUGCACGUCUUGACGGUACCUAAACAGAAAGCCACGGCUAACUACGUG